rnacentral:rRNA from 1 species
AUUGAACGCUGGCGGCAGGCCUAACACAUGCAAGUCGAGCGGGGUUUUCGGACCUAGCGGCGGACGGGUGAGUAAUGCGUAGGAAGCUACCCGAUAGAGGGGGAUACCAGUUGGAAACGACUGUUAAUACCGCAUAAUGUCUACGGACCAAAGUGUGGGACCUUCGGGCCACAUGCUAUCGGAUGCGCCUACGUGGGAUUAGCUAGUUGGUGAGGUAAUGGCUCACCAAGGCGACGAUCCCUAGCUGGUUUGAGAGGAUGAUCAGCCACACUGGAACUGAGACAAGGUCCAGACUCCUACGGGAGGCAGCAGUGGGGAAUAUUGGACAAUGGGCGCAAGCCUGAUCCAGCCAUGCCCCGUGUGUGAAGAAGGCCUUCGGGUUGUAAAGCACUUUCAGUAGGGAGGAAGCGUUGUGUGUUAAUAGUACAUAGCGAUGACGUUACCUACAGAAGAAGCACCGGCUAACUCUGUGCCAGCAGCCGCAGUAAAAC